CUUUACUGUAACUUGAAAUUGAAAUUGGACUUUAUUUGCGCAGUAUAGGUGGGAGGCGUUGAGUAGAUUCUUGCGGGAAUUUAGGAGCCAUCAGUGAGAUACCACUCUGGUAAUGUUAGAUUUCUAACUUUGGAUCAUUAUCUGGUCAAAGAACAGUUUCAGGCGGGCAGUUUGACUGGGGCGGUCGCCUCCCAAAUGGUAACGGAGGCGUACAAAGGUUUCCUCUGAACGUGUAGAAAUCGUAUCUAGAGUGUAAAGGCAUAAGGAAGCUUGACUGUGAGACCUACAAGUCGAGCAGGGACGAAAGUCGGUCUUAGUGAUCUGACGGUGCUGAGUGGAAAGGCCGUCACUCAACGGAUAAAAGUUA
rnacentral:rRNA from 1 species